rnacentral:rRNA from 1 species
ACUGCUCAGUAACACGUGGAUAACCUGCCCAAGGGUCCGGGAUAACCCCGGGAAACUGGGGAUAAUACCGGAUGGAUCACUUAUGCUGGAAUGCUUGGUGGACGAAAGGUGACGCCCUUGGAUGGGUCUGCGGCGGAUUAGGUUGACGCCGGUGUAACGUACCGGCGUGCCUGUAAUCCGUACGGGUUGUGGGAGCAAGAGCCCGGAGAUGGAUUCUGAGACACGAAUCCAGGCCCUACGGGGCGCAGCAGGCGCGAAAACUCUACAAUGCAGGCAACUGCGAUAGGGGGACAUCGAGUGGCAUCCACCUUGGGUGCCUGUCCCACCGUCUAAAAAACGGUGGUUAGCAAGGGCCGGGCAAGACCGGUGCCAGCCGCCGCGGUAAUACCGGCGGCUCGAGUGGUGGCCGAUAUUAUUGAGUCUAAAGGGUCCGUAGCCGGCUUUGCAAGUCCCCUGGGAAAUCCAGCGGCUUAACCGUUGGGCUUUCAUGGGAUACUACAUUGCUUGGGACUGGGAGAGGUAGGAGGUACUCGGGGGGUAGGGGUGAAAUCCUGUAAUCCCCCGGGGACCACCGGUGGCGAAGGCGUCCUACCAGAACAGGUCCGACGGUGAGGGACGAGAGCUAGGGGCACGAACCGGAUUAGAUACCCGGGUAGUCCUAGCCGUAAACGAUGCCCGCUAGGUGUCACGGCGGUCGUGAAUCGCCGUGGUGCCGUAGGGAAGCCGCGAAGCGGGCCACUUGGGAAGUACGGCCGCAAGGCUGAAACUUAAAGGAAUUGGCGGGGGAGCAC